GUGAGUUUUGUGCUAAAUUGAACGCUAUAAUCAUGGCAGGUUGAAUAAUACACGAUCGGUUUUACAAUUAGUUCUCAAUUUGGACAAGAAUCUCAACCUACGAAUCAUUCAUAAGCUUCCUUCACCCUACACUGGGUAAAAGCCUAAAAGACACUUCGAAUAAUUUUCUACUGGGUAAAAUUUUGAGCAAUAGAGAUGAUAUCUCUUUUUUCCCUAAAAUUCUUAUUCCAGAAGUGAAAAGAAAAAGUAUUCCAUGGUUUCCCUGUUGAUGAUGUAGCAUUUUUACACAACUUAACAGAAACACACUAAACUUCAAUCAUUGUGUCUGCAGAAUUUAGCUGCGGCAAAAUCAUCCCAGCAAAUCAUAGAACAAAAAUUUUCACCACUGCACAAAUCCA
rnacentral:lncRNA from 1 species